rnacentral:rRNA from 1 species
UACGUAGGGCGCAAGCGUUGUCCGGAAUUAUUGGGCGUAAAGAGCUCGUAGGCGGUUUGUCGCGUCUGCUGUGAAAACUCGAGGCUCAACCUCGGGCUUGCAGUGGGUACGGGCAGACUAGAGUGCGGUAGGGGUGACUGGAAUUCCUGGUGUAGCGGUGGAAUGCGCAGAUAGUCAGGAGGAACACCGAUGGCGAAGGCAGGUCAC